CAAGAUUAUGCGCAGCAGUUGGCAAUAGCACUACCAGCGGAAGAGUAGCUUGGCGCAGCUACUCUUGAAGAUGGCCAUAGGCUACUUUUGGCCGAGGGUGGGGGUUUGCUGGCUCAACACUUUGCAUACCAGACGGACUAGUUUAUGCUGCCCAAAUGAACACUAGCAACGUUGUUGGAAUCAUCAAAAUGAUAAGUUCCCUUUUUAUCGAAAUGAUAGGAUAGCUUGUAACCCAAACGACAGAUUCAUUUGCGGCAACCGAUUUACAACAAAAGAUAUGAGUAUCUGCUAUUGCAAAUCCAUCAAGGAAUUUGACACUUGGGCAGGCGUAAAAGUACCCCCAAACUACCACAAGCAAUUAAGGAAGUUUAUUCACAUGCCCUUGACGCGAUCGAAAAAACACGUAUGGAGCCAACAACAAAGAUUCCCUACACACAAGAGAGAUGGUACCUCGGAACUUUAAACUUAUGGGAGGAGACGUUACACGAAUGCUAUCCUGUUUACAUCAAACUAGCAGAGCCAUCCUUGCAAACGAGCUAACGAUCGACUGCUGCGAUUGAGGAAGUAGAUAUGCGAUGAGUCAAAUAAACUCACCGUAGCAGCAACUUAAGGGAUCGACACCUGAUCAACUAAAAGCACCAACGAGGAUAACAUCGGCCGACGCCAUCGAAAUGCACAUAAUUAAUAGAAGAAACAGCAAUAGUUUGGUGUUUAAUGUUGAA